rnacentral:rRNA from 1 species
GACGAACGCUGGCGGCGUGCCUAAUACAUGCAAGUCGAGCGCAGGAAACUGACGGAACUCUUCGGAGGGAAGGCAGUGGAAUGAGCGGCGGACGGGUGAGUAACACGUAAGGAACCUGCCUCAAGGAUUGGGAUAACUCCGAGAAAUCGGAGCUAAUACCGGAUAGUUCAACGGACCGCAUGGUCCGCUGAUGAAAGGCGCUCCGGCGUCACCUUGCGAUGGACGUGCGGUGCAUUAGUUAGUUGGUGGGGUAACGGCUCACCAAGGCGACGAUGCAUAGCCGACCUGAGAGGGUGAUCGGCCACACUGGGACUGAGACACGGCCCAGACUCCUACGGGAGGCAGCAGUAGGGAAUCUUCCACAAUGGACGAAAGUCUGAUGGAGCAACGCCGCGUGAGUGAUGAAGGUUUUCGGAUCGUAAAACUCUGUUGUAAGGGAAGAACACGUACGAGAGGAAAUGCUCGUACCUUGACGGUACCUUACGAGAAAGCCACGGCUAACUACGUGCCAGCAGCCGCGGUAACAC